CCUACGGGUGGCAGCAGUGAGGAAUAUUGGUCAAUGGGCUUACGCCUGAACCAGCCAAGUCGCGUGAGGGAAGACUGCCCUAUGGGUUGUAAACCUCUUUUGUCAGGGAGCAACGCCGGCUACGUGUAGCCGGACUGAGAGUACCUGAAGAAAAAGCAUCGGCUAACUCCGUGCCAGCAGCCGCGGUAAUACGGAGGAUGCGAGGGUUAUCCGGAUUUAUUGGGUUUAAAGGGUGAGUAGGCGGAAGGCCAAGUCAGCGGUAAAAUCGCGGGGCUCAAACUGGCUCCGCCGUUGAAACUGGCGUUCUUGAGUGGGCGAGAAGUAUGCGGAAUUCGUGGUGUAGCGGUGAAAUGCUUAGAUAUCACGAAGAACUCCGAUUGCGAGGCAGUUCACUGGACUGCAACUGACACUGAGGCUCGAAAGUGUGGGUAUCAAACAGGAUUAGAUACCCGGGUAGUC
rnacentral:rRNA from 1 species